GGAGCUCUGGCCUGGAAAGCCCCAGGCUGUGGCCUAGCAGAGGGCUAAAAGGUCUAACCUUGAGAUCAAAAUCAUAGUGGCCAGCUUGAAUCUGAGGUUAUGCAUUUGAAGUGAUCGCCUCCAAAAUGCAAAGGGUUCAGAAUCAAGGUUUUGGUGUCAACCCACCUCCAGUAUGGGAUCAGAUGGUGGCAUCCAACAGGACUUUGAUGACUGAGUGAAUCUGGAAAGUGGAAUCAACAACCAAUCAAAUGACAGAAUACUGAAAGAGUCAGAGCAUGAUGUACAAUCCAUAGAUGCUACUCCUUUUCAAGACUGCGGCAAGAGUGAGAAGAUAUGACUUAUUUCCUUUUGGCCGCUCCAGACAAAAAUAGUAUAAUAAGCCUCAAAAGAUUAAAAGACUUGGAGGAACUCUGGUCUGGUUUUAUUUCAAAGGCCAUUUCUGGAUUUAUAAUCAUUGGGACCCGAUCCUACUGUGAGCACUUCCUGAGAGAUACUGAGUGCCCUCAACUCCCACUGAGGAUACUCAGCACCAAGCAAGAAGUGCUCAGUACUUUGUAUGAUUUCUCCUGAAAUAAAUGUACAUAAAGGCUACUGUACAGCAGUGGUGUUCAUUAGGGUCCCUCUAAUCCAAUGAAAAGGCUCCUAUUGACUUCAGUGGGCUUUGGAUCCGGCCCUAAAUGUGUACUCCAAGGGUAUGUCUACACUGGAGCUGGAGGUAUAAUUUCCAUGCUAGCUUUGAUUGAACUUGUGUGCCAAAAAAAUAGCAAUGUAGCAGCAGCUGCACAGGUGGUGGGAGGGGCUAGCCACCCAGCUAUGUACCUAGGGUUUCAAAUGGGAUUGCACAUAUUUUUAGUAUGCUAACUCGCUCAGAGCUAUCAUAGGUAUGUCUACCCAACCUGGAAAUUACACUUUCCAGCUCCAGUGUAGCCAAACCCUGAAUAUAUAAAGUAUGUUAAAACAUUCCCAAAUAUAGGUUUUUGUAUUGCUAAUUGGCUUGAAUGAGAUAUUUCAGAUGUAAUUAUCUCUCCCCACUUUUCCCCCUGACUUUACCUUUGUCACGUCUGUCUUCUCUUUAUUUUUUAAUUUGGAGUAGGAUAUUCCAAAUAAACCAUUUCAGCCAAGAUGGAAGAUGGGGUCUGCCCAAGUGGCUUAACAGUAGCAAUUUGAUCUUUUCCUCCUUGGAGGAUGGAGAAAUAUUAAACAGUGUUUGCUAAACCCUUUAUGGCUAGGGUCUUGAGCCUGAGUCUUGAUCAGAUCUGGCCACUGGAAAGGGCCCACUGUUGAGGGAUAGCUGUAGCAGGCAGGCAUUUGGAGGGUAUGUAGAGUUUAGAGAACACUACCCGGUCAGUUGUGUAGUGGUAAUUAAGGAGUUUUUGAAAUGGGUAUUGUGCAUGUCAUGUAGAGAAUUUGGGAGCCAUGUGAGGCCAUUACUCAUUAAAAAACCACCCACAGCCCACUAAUAGAUUACAAUUUGUGGUUUGAAAAGCUCUAUAUGUGGUUCAGUUGCUCUUAUGGUUCAUAGAUCCUAGUAGAUGCCAAAGGACGCCCACUUACAUGACAAUUGACCUUCCAGAAAAUAGUCUGAAAUUAUUCGUUCCAUCUGCUGGCUGAA